rnacentral:rRNA from 1 species
CCCAGACUCCUACGGGAGGCAGCAGUGGGGGAUAUUGCACAAUGGGGGGAACCCUGAUGCAGCGACGCCGCGUGGGUGAAGGAGCGUUUCGGCGCGUAAAGCCCUAUCGGCAGGGAAGAAGGAGGACGGUACCUGACUAAGAAGCCCCGGCUAACUACGUGCCAGCAGCCGCGGUAAUACGUAGGGGGCAAGCGUUAUCCGGAUUUACUGGGUGUAAAGGGGGCGCAGACGGCAGCGCAAGCCAGGAGUGAAAGCCCGGGGCCCAACCCCGGGACUGCUCUUGGGACUGCGCGGCUGGAGUGCAGGAGGGGCAGGCGGAAUUCCUGGUGUAGCGGUGAAAUGCGUAGAUAUCAGGAGGAACACCGGUGGCGAAGGCGGCCCGCUGGACAGCAACUGACGGUGAGGCGCGAAAGCGUGGGGAGCAAACAGGAUUAGAUACCCUCGUA